AUGUGUCUGUUCACUGGUUUGCGUCUCUCAAGUGUUUGGGAGAGGAAUGAAAAUAUCAAGAAACAAGCAAACAAACAAAAACAGAGCAUAGUUUGGAACUGUAGGCUGAACUCUUCCUCCUUCUCAAUGAUCCGUAUGGGUCCCUUCCAAAUCGGGACGGUCUAUGAUUCUGUGAUCUUCCAGCACGCCUCACUGGUGCUUGCAGGACCCUCUGAACACAGAGAGACGUUAAGGCCUUUGUUUGUUUGUUGUCUUAAUAGAAACACCAAAGGAGCAGGAGGUGCGCUGCUGUGCAGCUCCUGGCAGGGGAACAGAGAGGACACACCUACAGAAACCAGAAUGCAGGAGCAGCUCGCGCUGCGAUGCUCGGCACAGAGCAGCUGCCGUUCGGUUGGCGUGGAGGAACCCACCCGAAGGACGCGUUCAUCCAGGGCAGCGCAGGGAUCAUCUCCAUCUCCAGCGCUGCGCUUUGCUAAGCGCUCUGCCUGGCCCGGCUCGGAGGCGCUUGGCCGAAGUGCUGAGGGCGGUGCUGGAAGAACCAAACUGGAUAUUGGCAAACAAUUCUCCAAAAGAGCGGCGAUGCACCGGCACAGGCUGCUCGGGGAGACGGGGGCAUCCCCGGAGGUGUUCCAGAACGGUGGAGAUGUGGGACACGGUCAGUGCGCACGGUGGGGGUUGGACUUGGUGAUCUCGGAGCUCUUUUCCAACCGCAAUGAUUCCGCGAACCGUCCACCCCCGGGGCUGCGGGGGGCAGCGGCACAGGCCGCGGGCGGAGGGCGGCGCUGGAGGGCGGCGGGCCCGGCCCCGCCCGCGCGGGGGGAAGGGGCGGAGGAGCGGGCGGCGCCGGGGGCGGCUCCAGGCGCGGUGGGGCCUGUUCCGGCCGCUGGGCGCUGCCCGAGCUGGGCGCUCCUGAGGGGCGGGUGGUCGCGGCCUGCAGGUGCGUUCCUCGCCGCCCGGGCAGGAGCGAUUUUGUUUUCGGGUACUGCAUCCCCAGCUCCUCGUUUAGUAAUAAUCCGUGUGGCACCUGGGUUGGUGCUGAUCAAUGGCAGCGUAUUUGCGUGUAGUGUUUUCCUUGUCGUCUUCGCAACUGUUAAAUGA
rnacentral:lncRNA from 1 species